UCUCAGGUAGCUUAGUGGUAAAGCACCCGACCGGCAAUUGGGGGAUCUGGAUUCAAGUCCUGGCCCGAGCU
rnacentral:tRNA from 1 species